GACGAACGCUGGCGGCGUGCUUAACACAUGCAAGUCGAACGGAAAGGCCCUGCUUUUGUGGGGUGCUCGAGUGGCGAACGGGUGAGUAACACGUGAGUAACCUGCCCUUGACUUUGGGAUAACUUCAGGAAACUGGGGCUAAUACCGGAUAGGAGCUCCUGCUGCAUGGUGGGGGUUGGAGAGUUUCGGCGGUUGGGGAUGGACUCGCGGCUUAUCAGCUUGUUGGUGGGGUAGUGGCUUACCAAGGCUUUGACGGGUAGCCGGCCUGAGAGGGUGACCGGCCACAUUGGGACUGAGAUACGGCCCAGACUCCUACGGGAGGCAGCAGUGGGGAAUAUUGCACAAUGGGCGGAAGCCUGAUGCAGCAACGCCGCGUGCGGGAUGACGGCCUUCGGGUUGUAAACCGCUUUCGCCUGUGACGAAGCGUGAGUGACGGUAAUGGGUAAAGAAGCACCGGCUAACUACGUGCCAGCAGCCGCGGUGAUACGUAGGGUGCGAGCGUUGUCCGGAUUUAUUGGGCGUAAAGGGCUCGUAGGUGGUUGAUCGCGUCGGAAGUGUAAUCUUGGGGCUUAACCCUGAGCGUGCUUUCGAUACGGGUUGACUUGAGGAAGGUAGGGGAGAAUGGAAUUCCUGGUGGAGCGGUGGAAUGCGCAGAUAUCAGGAGGAACACCAGUGGCGAAGGCGGUUCUCUGGGCCUUUCCUGACGCUGAGGAGCGAAAGCGUGGGGAGCGAACAGGCUUAGAUACCCUGGUAGUCCACGCUGUAAACGGUGGGUACUAGGUGUGGGGUCCAUUCCACGGGUUCCGUGCCGUAGCUAACGCUUUAAGUACCCCGCCUGGGGAGUACGGCCGCAAGGCUAAAACUCAAAGGAAUUGACGGGGCCCCGCACAAGCGGCGGAGCAUGCGGAUUAAUUCGAUGCAACGCGUAGAACCUUACCUGGGUUUGACAUGGAUCGGGAGUGCUCAGAGAUGGGUGUGCCUCUUUUGGGGUCGGUUCACAGGUGGUGCAUGGCUGUCGUCAGCUCGUGUCGUGAGAUGUUGGGUUAAGUCCCGCAACGAGCGCAACCCUUGUUCACUGUUGCCAGCACGUUAUGGUGGGGACUCAGUGGAGACCGCCGGGGUCAACUCGGAGGAAGGUGGGGAUGACGUCAAGUCAUCAUGCCCCUUAUGUCCAGGGCUUCACGCAUGCUACAACGGCUGGUACAGAGAGUGGCGAGCCUGUGAGGGUGAGCGAAUCUCGGAAAGCCGGUCUCAGUUCGGAUUGGGGUCUGCAACUCGACCUCAUGAAGUCGGAGUCGCUAGUAAUCGCAGAUCAGCAACGCUGCGGUGAAUACGUUCCCGGGGCU
rnacentral:rRNA from 1 species